rnacentral:rRNA from 1 species
UACGAAGGGGGCUAGCGUUGUUCGGAUUUACUGGGCGUAAAGCGCGUGUAGGCGGACUGAUAAGUUGGGGGUGAAAGCCCAGAGCUCAACUCUGGAACUGCCUUCAAGACUGUCAGUCUGGACUCAAGGAGAGGCGAGUGGAAUUGCGAGUGUAGAGGUGAAAUUCGUAGAUAUUCGCAGGAACACCAGUGGCGAAGGCGACUCGCUGGACUUGUAGUGACGCUGAGACGCGAAAGCGUGGGGAGCAAACAGG